rnacentral:lncRNA from 1 species
CUGCAAAGGGACAUGCUGCUCAAAUUGGGAGAAACAAACUGAUCACUCUUGGGAUGUUUUAUGCAGAAGGGCCUAUGUUUAUAAAAGGCAGGGAAGGAAAGCUUCAAAGAAGCUGUCCUCGCCUAUAUUCAUUUGGGGUUCUUGUACUCUGAGUUUUAAAGAAGCAGCUGGAUUUUCUAAUGAAACAUUGUGAUCUUUCUUAUCUUCAUUCAGGUGAUUCAACCUGGUGUGCUGGAAGUUUGAGUUUGAGGUGCCACCUUCCUGCAGAACAGCCACAUGAUCUUGCACAAGUUCUGAAAUCCAUGGAGAGGAUGCGAUAAAAUGAGCAUAAGGUGUUAAGUCCUAGAUAAAUGAAAAUAAUAAUUAUCAUAUAAACAACAUACCCAAACCAUUUUCCUUUGCUAAGGAGAUGAUGACUUAAAUCAACUCUGCCAAAACAGAAAUUCUAGAUAAUUUCCUUUUUAUCUCUAACCACCAACAUCCUGCCAUUGGUCUUAUCUAAAAGUAUCCUUCCUCUUCCCUUGUUUCCUGCUGUAGAGGAUGGAUACUACUUUUGAUCUUAUGUAGGUAUUGUUCAAUGAUUAGUACUCUACCUUUGUUUUCUCAACAUAUUGAUCUUGUAAAUGUUAGCUGUCUCUGGAAAUUUCUCAAGGACACAGAAGCUGUUCCAGUGAACUGUGUCUACAAAAGUGACAAACACAAAUAGAUGCUGAAUAACACUUUGUGUUAACUUGAAGACAAAGUUGAGGGUGAUGAUAAUAACCUUCCUCACAUCUUAUGAAGAGUAAGGCUGGUGAUUAAUUUCUUUUUUUAAAAAAAUAUUUUUUAGUUGUAGAUGGACACAAUUACUUUAUUU